rnacentral:rRNA from 1 species
UGAACGCUGGCGGUAUGCUUAACACAUGCAAGUCGAACGGAAACGAUACUAGCUUGCUAGUAGGCGUCGAGUGGCGGACGGGUGAGUAACGCGUAGGAAUCUGCCUGAUAGUGGGGGAUAGCCCGAAGAAAUUCGGAUUAAUACCGCAUAAUCUAUUCGUAGUAAAGUGGGGGACUUUCGAGCCUCACGCUAUCAGAUGAGCCUGCGUAAGAUUAGCUAGUUGGUAGGGUAAAAGCCUACCAAGGCGACGAUCUUUAGCUGGUCUGAGAGGAUGAUCAGCCACAUCGGGACUGAGACACGGCCCGAACUCCUACGGGAGGCAGCAGUGGGGAAUAUUGGACAAUGGGGGCAACCCUGAUCCAGCAAUACCGCGUGUGUGAAGAAGGCCUGAGGGUUGUAAAGCACUUUCAAUUGUGAAGAAAAGCUAGUGGUUAAUAGCCAUUAGCCUUGACGUUAACUUUAGAAGAAGCACCGGCUAACUCCGUGCCAGCAGCCGCGGUAAUACGGAGGGUGCAAGCGUUAAUCGGAAUUACUGGGCGUAAAGCGUGCGUAGGCGGUUUAUUAAGUCAGAUGUGAAAGCCCCGGGCUUAACCUGGGAACUGCAUUUGAAACUGGUCAACUAGAGUAUGGUAGAGGAAAGUGGAAUUUCUGGUGUAGCGGGUGAAAUGCGUAGAUAUCAGAAGGAACAUCAAUGGCGAAGGCAACUUUCUGGACCAAUACUGACGCUGAGGUACGAAAGCGUGGGUAGCAAACAGGAUUAGAUACCCUGGUAGUCCACGCCGUAAACGAUGAUAACUAGCCGUUGGGGGGAUUUACCCCUUAGUGGCGAAGCUAACGCGUUAAGUUAUCCGCCUGGGGAGUACGGCCGCAAGGUUAAAACUCAAAGGAAUUGACGGGGACCCGCACAAGCGGUGGAGCAUGUGGUUUAAUUCGAUGCAACGCGAAGAACCUUACCUGGUCUUGACAUCCUGCGAACUUUCUAGAAAUAGAUUGGUGCCUUCGGGAACGCAGUGACAGGUGCUGCAUGGCUGUCGUCAGCUCGUGUCGUGAGAUGUUGGGUUAAGUCCCGUAACGAGCGCAACCCCUAUCCUUAUUUGCCAGCACAUCAUGGUGGGAACUAUAAGGAGACUGCCGGUGAUAAACCGGAGGAAGGCGGGGACGACGUCAAGUCAUCAUGGCCCUUACGACCAGGGCUACACACGUGCUACAAUGGGAAGGACAAAGAGCCGCGAAGCCGCGAGGUGUAGCUAAUCUCAGAAACCUUUUCGUAGUCCGGAUUGGAGUCUGCAACUCGACUCCAUGAAGUCGGAAUCGCUAGUAAUCGUAGAUCAGAAUGCUACGGUGAAUACGUUCCCGGGUCUUGUACUCACCGCC